rnacentral:misc_RNA from 1 species
UGUGUUGCUUACCCGUCCCGGCGGUAUUCGAUAGACAYGUUGCUCGUUCUCGUCCCGCGCUCUCAUGGGGAGUGGGAUGAGCCAAGUCGGUGCCUUGCGUGUUCCUUGCUGAGCCAUAGGCUCAUGCCUCGGCCCACGCUGGGCAGCUGGUCCUCUCGGAUGCUGAAAAUUGUGUGGGCAAGAGGGUUCAAUCCCCCUCGACACAAGCCCGGGCCUAGCGCUCGUCGCUCAAACCGGAAGACGUUGCUCCUCGCCUUGGCCUCACUGAGCCGUCGGCUCCCGUGACGGCCAUGCGCGGUGCCACCGUCUCGA